GCAUGAAAAAAGAUGGAAAGACGGUUUACGCUGUCACUUAUAGAUGGGCCCGCGGCGCAUUAGCUAGUUGGUGAGGGAAUGGCUCACCAAGGCAACCAUGCGUAACCGACCUGAGAGGGUGAUCGGCCACACUGGGACUGACACACGGCCCACACUCCUACGGGAGGCAGCAGUAGGGAAUCUUCCGCAAUGGACGAAAGUCUGACGGACCACCGCCGCGUGAACAAAGAAGGCCUUCCGGUCGUAAAGUUCUGUUGUUAGGAAAGAACAAGUACCAAAGUAACUGCUGGUACCUUGACGGUACCUAACCAGAAAGCCACGGCUAACUACGUGCCACCAGCCGCGGUAAUACGUAGGUGGCAAGCGUUGUCCGGAAUUAUUGGGCGUAAAGCGCGCGCAGGUGGUUCCUUAAGUCUGAUGUGAAAGCCCACGGCUCAACCGUGGAGGGUCAUUGGAAACUGGGGAACUUGAGUGCAAAAAAGGAGAGUGUAAUUCCGAGUGUAGCGGUGAAAUGCAUAUAGAUUUGAAGGAACACCAGUGGCGAAACUGACACUGACGC
rnacentral:rRNA from 1 species